ACGUGCCGUGUGCAAAGCACAGGGGGCUAUGACUAGGACGCUCCCGACGCGAGCACAGUCAUUCGAAUCCAGUAUUAGUGCGGUGUAGAGUGCUCGGUGUUUUGUAAUCCACUUACUCGAAUUCACCUUUCUCUCUCUUUUUCUCUUUUUCUCUUUCUUUUCCUCACGCGACUACGAUCGAUUAGUGUGUAAAAAUGCCUUUCAAGCCUGUGGAACAUCCAAAAUGCCCUAAAUGUGGCAAAUCUGUUUACGCUGCAGAAGAGCGAGUUGCCGGUGGACUAAAAUGGCACAAAAUGUGCUUCAAGUGCGGUCUUUGCGGCAAACUGCUCGACUCGACAAAUUGCUCCGAGCACGAGGGCGAGCUGUUUUGUAAAGUCUGCCACGCUCGCAAAUUCGGUCCUAAAGGUUAUGGAUUCGGUGGCGGAGCUGGCUGCCUGUCCAUGGACCAAGGAGAGCAUCUACAAGCGAAGAGCGAGGGUGAAUUAUCGCGGGGUUCCAACGCCACUCUCGAACCACGAGCUAUCGCGAAAGCACCUGAAGGAGAGGGAUGUCCUCGCUGCGGAGGGUAUGUCUAUGCCGCCGAGCAAAUGUUGGCCCGAGGAAGGGCUUACCAUAAAAUGUGCUUCAAGUGCAAAAUGUGUCGUCGAAAUCUGGACUCGACGCUUCAUUGCGAUGGUCCCGACCGCGAGAUAUACUGUCGAGCAAUGGCACAAGGAAUGCUUUAAGUGUGCCAACUGCUCCAAAAGAUUAGAUUCCAUCAACUGCUGUGAAGGUCCUGACAAGGACAUCUAUUGCAAAGUAUGCUAUGGAAAGAGAUUCGGGCCGAAGGGUUAUGGCUACGGCCAGGGUGGCGGCGCCCUGCAGAGCGACUGCUAUGCCAAUGGCGAUGCGGCUCCUCGCACCACCGUGAUCGACACCGCGAUAAUCAAGGCCCCGCCAGGCAAGGGCUGUCCUCGUUGCGGUGGCGUCGUCUUCGCCGCCGAGCAG
rnacentral:misc_RNA from 1 species